UUGACCUAAGAAAACUAUUCUUUUGCGAAAACGAAAUAAACACCAAAAAAGAAACCUUAAAACCUGACAAAAUAAUGCUUCUUUCAUCCACCUUGAAGUGAAAAGUAAAACAACAUGGGCUUUUGCUGUAAAAAAGCUAAGAAAAUAAUUAAUUUUAUUUAAAAAAUAUAAACCUGGAAAUAUAAAAAAGAAACAAAUUAAAUUAAUUAAAUAUAACAAUCAAAUACAUGGUUAUAAUAAUAACCACAUAAUAAAACACGUUACAUAAAAAAUUCCACAACAAAUUCUUAUAUUGCUUCAUUUUUCUCCAUAACUUCCACAUUUUCAAUUUUAUCCACUGUAAACCUAAAUUAAAAUUCUGAAAAUAAAAAAAAAAAAAACAAAGCAAUCAAUAUUAAAAAAAAGUCAAUAAAAAAAUAUUAUAAAAUCUAAAAAUCAAUCAAAAUUUAUACGAACUGAAAAAUGAACCCUUCUCCUCUCCCGUCUCCUGGACAAUUGGAAGGAUGUCCUCCUGGUCAUUAUAAUUUGCUCGUCCGGAACAUAUAUAAUUCCCAGCUUACAAAUACGUGGGGUCCAUCUCCAAUGGCUUCCACGGGAAGAAGCUGUGGCAAAGCUGGAAUGGGAACUUGUUGUCCCUUUAAACAAAUAUUUAAAAAUUUAUUAUAUUUAUAACAAAAAAAUUAUAUUUUCAGCUUACCAAAUCAUCCUGCCUACGAAACCAUGUUCUUGGAUUUGACCAUGUCCCGCUGCCAAACUAAAACAAAAUUCAUAUAUUUAUUAAAGGUUUAACAAUUUAAACUUUAAAACUCACAUUCCUGAAGAAUGCAACAUCAAUUAAAUUUUGCAUUAUUUUCUA